AGGCGCGAAACCUUUACACUGCACGACAGUGCGAUAGGGGGAUCCCAAGUGCACAGGCAUAGCGCCUGUGCUUUUCGGUACCCUAAGGCGGUACCAGAAUAAGGGCUGGGCAAGACCGGUGCCAGCCGCCGCGGUAAUACCGGCAGCCCAAGUGAUGGCCGAUCUUAUUGGGCCUAAAGCGUCCGUAGCUGGCCACGCAAGUCCAUCGGGAAAUCCACCUGCCCAACAGGUGGACGCCCGGUAGAAACUGCGUGGCUUGGGACCGGAAGGCGCGACGGGUACGUCCGGGGUAGGAGUGAAAUCCCGUAAUCCUGGACGGACCGCCGAUGGCGAAAGCACGUCGCGAGAACGGAUCCGACAGUGAGGGACGAAAGCCAGGGUCUCGAACCGGAUUAGAUACCCGGGUAGUCCUGGCCGUAAACAAUGUCUGCUAGGUGUGGCUCCCACUACGAGUGGGUGCUGUGCCGCAGGGAAGCCGCUAACAGCCGCCUGGGAAGUCGUCCGCAAGGAUGAAACUUAAAGGAUUGGG
rnacentral:rRNA from 2 species